GGAGAAAAGGCAUUGCCGUUCGCAAGACCUAGCAGCUAAAGGAGCGGCCGAUGUCUGAUUAGUUAGUUGGUGGGGUAAAGGCCUACCAAGGCAACGAUCAGUAGCUGGUCUGAGAGGACGAUCAGCCACACUGGGACUGAGACACGGCCCAGACUCCUACGGGAGGCAGCAGUGGGGAAUUUUGGACAAUGGGCGAAAGCCUGAUCCAGCCAUGCCGCGUGAAUAAAGAAGGCCUUCGGGUUGUAAAGUUCUUUUAGUUGGAAAGAAAAAAUUAUGAUGAAUAAUCAUAAUUCAUGACGGUACCGACAGAAAAAGCACCGGCUAACUACGUGCCAGCAGCCGCGGUAAUACGUAGGGUGCAAGCGUUAAUCGGAAUUACUGGGCGUAAAGGGUGUGCAGGCGGCCUUGUAAGUCAGAUGUGAAAGCCCCGGGCUUAACCUGGGAAUUGCGUUUGAAACUACAA
rnacentral:rRNA from 1 species